GUUCUAUUUUACAUCCUCAUAACUUCACGUGGAUUCAGGGCUGUUGUUGUUCUUGUUGGGUUUCUUAUUCCUCCAUAAGCAGCAACAGAGAGGAGGGUCCGGCUGAAGGGGAUGAGGGUUCCUGGAGGAGUCUGGGUCUGCAGACUGAACAGAUUAUUCAAGGGAGGCUGGUUAGAGAUCCUGUCGAUUUAGAAAUCAGGGUUAGGCUGCUCACACAGUAUCAUACAGUGCGUUUACAGUCACAGUUUAAUCAGAAUAAGCUCAUAAUUCAUUUUUUUUGCCGAAUUGGACUUCUCUUCUUGACUGUCAACAACCGUCAACAACAACAGCAGGUCGGUGUCAGACGUCAGAAGUGUCUACAACUGCUGCUGGGCAUUUUGGAGAAACAAGAAGGAAAUGGCGCUGUUUGAGAGGAGAACUCUGCAGGACUAACUAAAGCUGGAAGAGCUCGGUCCAGAUCGACCAGACGCCGCCGCUCAGCGAGUGACCACGAGAAGAGCAGACAAUAUAGGCGGACAUUUUCAAGAGCAUGGUAUAGGCACAAAGCAUAGCUAACUGGAAGUCUUAAGAGUAAGGCUCUUUUCUGUUUCACGAGUAAAUCAAUGGUGAUAAAAAGAAAUUAUAAAGCUGGCAAAAUAUAAUUUCAGCGACUGAAACAGUCAACAAAACCUGUUUGUAGAAAAGUAGAGUAUCUAAAGAUUAAAACCUAGUAUAAACCAUAAAUGCAUUAUAGUGAGACAUAAAAGCCAGACUAAAAAAAAAGCUAACAGACAAUGUUCAUGUCACAAUGUUAGAAAUCAAUAAUUUUUAAGGCAGGAUGAAAACGUCCUGUCCUGGAAAAGUCCUGGAAAAUGAUUUCUAUAAAAGAGUGGGAACCCUGUAUUUGUUCACCCAGUUUCAAUUCAGUUCAACUGAAAUAUUAAAUGUAACUAGAAAAAUUGCAUUUCCUUGCAGAAAAUCCAAAAAAUGGAGAAAGGAAUUAAUGUAAAAGCUGUUAAUCAGCUCGCAGCUGCUAUUAUUAACAGAAGUUAAAUAAUUGUGAAUAUGGUUGGAGGACAAAUAGUAUGAAUAUGCUCCAUAAAUUGAAAUUUUAUUCCUGCUGAAAGAGGCUGGAAAAUUUUCUAAAAUUGCACAAAGUUUGAAUGAAGAAGUAAAUUACCUUAAAAGGCAAGUAAGUGAGAAGUGGCAUCAGCUUAAGUUGUAGUUCUAGUAGUAGGAUGAUAAGUCGUCAUAGUAGUGAUAUUAGUAGUCAUGUAAGCAGUAGAAGUAGUUUGAGAAUAGAAGUCAAAGUAGUAGAGCUCUUAGUAGAGGUAGAAGAAGAAGAAGUAGAGAAAGUAGAAAAAGUAGCAAUAGUAGUUGAAGUAGAAGUCAAAGUACUAGUUUAAUUGACAUUAGCAGUAGUUGUAGUAGAAGAAGUGGGCGUUUGUUUGAAGGAUUGAAUAAUGCAUGAAUAUUAAAACUAAUUUAAAACAGGGAAAAUUUCAAUAAUUAUAAAGUUUUGAAGUAUCAGAAAGGUUUGAGUCAGUUUGAAUGAGGUUUAAUUUGUUUGAAGAAUUGAACAAUGCAUUAUCACUGAGAGAAAAUGGGGAAAAUUUAAAUGAAUAAAAAUCCUGAAUACACCCCAUAAUGUCCUCAAUGAGUUGAAAUUUUGAAGCCCAGAAUGGUUUCUGUAGCUCAAAGUUUGUGGGUGGAGAUAGGUGGUGAAGCAGACACAUGGUCAAAGUGUGUGCAUGUAGGUCUCAUAGACAGAGAGACGCUCACGCACACACAUAUUUACUGUGUGUACAUGCAGGUGUCAGAGAGAGAGACUAACGCACACACAUUGUCAGAGUGUGUGUAUGUGUGUGUGUGUGUGUUUAUCAAUGCAUCCUAAACAGAUCAAAGGACCAACUGACCAACGUUUUGAAUGAGAAGCUGCCUAACUGCAGUGAAUUUAGGGCUCUGAACUUCUUCACAUAGCGCAAUUUCCUUAAAUCCCAGAAUGAAAAUACAAACAUCGUAGGAAUCCUGAAACCUGAAAGAAUACAAUGAUGUGUUUUUCAUGUCUGUAGUCUAAAAAAUGUGGCCACAACAGCGAGUUAAAAAAGUCUGACCCUGAGUGAUUAUCAGGAUUUUCUGGGAGAAAGAUUACUUUAUGGUCAAUAGGAGGCAUCUCUGCCAUUUUUGGACAGUUGGUCACCUGCUGGCCAAGGGUUAGGAUUUAAUGAUUUGAAACCUCUUUUGUGAGAAUCAGGACUUAUUUUCCUCCAUUUUGAUGUAUUUUUUAUGGCUGUGGAGUGAAAUUUGUGGGCAUGGGAGCGAUACAUUCGAGCGAGGUUUUGUCGAUCGAAAAAGUCCUCUCCACUCUAGCGAUGACAUCAUCCCACUCUAGCUCUUCCAAUACACACCCAUUAUAAAGCCUGAAAUUUGCUGAAUACUAUGAGUUGCUUAAAGCUAAAUUGUGGAAAAACUGUAGGGAUAGCACAAAAAAGUUAAUACAACAUAUUUAGAGUCGAAGAUUGUGAACAUUUUAAAGCAAAAAUGAGGUCUGUAGGUGAAAGUAUGCUGAAGUUAUAAGGAUGAGAAGGUGGAAGAGUAAAAGGUAGAAUUUGAAGAUUUCCCCAUUCAUUUCAAUGGGAAAAAAAAUGCACAAAAAGUUAAAAAAAUCAAAAAGUUUAAAGGGUAGAAAAAAGAAAAACAACGUAACGUCUGACUGUAUCGAACACACCUCUGGACUUCACCAAACAAUAAGAGUCUGAUUCAGCUAAAAUUAUAGUGGGUGUGAGUUCACUCGACCGAAACAAAGACGCCGUGUUAAACUGAGAAACAAACAAACAAAUAAACUCAGAAUCAAAGGUGUUUAUAUUUCUUUAAACUUUAUGUCCACACACGGUGACUGCUGAAGAUAAGAACUGAGUUGUAGGUACAUUUAUGGGGUUGUGGGGGGGUUUAGUCAAAUUACAGAAAUAGUUUUAUGGGUCCAACACAUAGACUGUAUAAACUAUGGACAACUUGGUCCUGCCUCCCGCCUGUACAAGGAUUUUAAGCCAAAAAACUCUCAGUAUUUCUGUGAUUUUUCUUCAUUUUCAACAUUGUGCAGUAGCAUUGUGCGCAUUCGGUGGGAGAGUCACCGAGAGUCGCUGUGAUGGCGCUCGGUGAGCUACGCAAUCCCUGAACGCCAAUAGGCCGCAUCAGGUGUCAAUCAUAGCAAACAUGAACCCCCUAAUAACUUUUAAAAAUGGAGCUGUACAGAUAAAAGAGGACUUGAGCACAAACCAGUCUGACAGUAACUACAUGUCAACAUCACAACCAGGGGGGAGAAACAUUUAUAUUCUGUGUCAUUCAUUUAUAAAGUUUGUCCACAGCUCCAUAAGAAGGCGGGGUUUAGGACCUAUACUGCAGCCCGUCAACAGAGGGCGCUGUUCUCGGAGUGGCUUCACCCAGGGAGGAGGCAGACAGCGUCAAUUCUAUAUACAGUCUAUGGUGUUAAACAGCUGAUCAUCUUCUCUUAACUCUGCAAAAACUCAAAAUCUGACAAGUGUUUUCAUCUAUCCAUAAAAUAAACUUGUUAGUGUAAGACACAACCAAAGGUUUUUAAAGUUACUCAUUACAAACGAUCUAAUACUAGGAGAUAAACCUUGAUUUUUCAGGUGAAUUUGGUUUAUAGUAAGUCUAUUAUUAUUUACAAAAUAAUGAUAGACACAGCUUUUUAAAAAUGUAUUGAUCCUUCUAUUUAUCUAUCUAUUUGUCUCUGCAGGGUCCCCAGAAGAUGGAUCCUUCUGAGCUUGGAUAUCCCUAACCUGUUCCUCUAGCACCACCUGCAGGUUAAAAACACACUUACACUGUGAAUGCCUCAUAAGAAAAUCAGCCCUGAACUUUGACUCAUAUUCCACGACUAUUUAAUCUGGAUCUUUUAUCUUAAUCACAUGUUGCCA